rnacentral:lncRNA from 1 species
CGUGGUGGAGAGGGGGUUUAGGGGGAAAGGAUAGAGGGGUCCGUGGGCUUUUAAAGGACGCGGUCGGGUCUCCGAAUAAAGGACGGGAGAGGUGAUUACGGAGGGGAUGGCGCGCGGUGGCGAAAACGGCAGGCGGCGGCAUUCAUGGGCGUGAUUUGGGGAAGAUGAUGCUGACAGGUGGGGCCCACCUGUCAGCGGCUGCGGCUCAGGCGCGGGCGAAGCUGUGCUGCGGCGCGCGGCAGGUAAGUGGGCCAGCCCAGUUGGAUCGGUCCGUUUCCUUUCUUUUUUUUUCCUUUUUUUUUUCUGUUUAUCCUUUCAAACUUUUGAUUUUGAACUCCAAAUUGGUCCAAAUAAAUGCCAUAAAAUUUGUAAAAUCAUAUUAUAAUAUGAUUCAACUUUUGGGACUAAUUUCCCUUCCAAAUAAAAUAUAUAAAAAUACAUUUGCCCUAUAAAUGCCUUUAGGGCUUCAUAACUAAUUAAAUAAAAUAGUUUUUCAACUCCAAAUAAAUAUUAAAAAUUAUGGGAUAGCUCAUAUAUGCAAUAAAUCCCUUUUAUAGAUAAACCCUAAUGGUUUAAAGAUCCAAGGCUCAAAUGGGUGAAAUGCUAGGGUUUUAAAAUGAAAUACAACCUUUUCAAAGCCUUUUGAAAUUCAAAUUUGAAUCCAAACAUGCAAAUGUGGCAUGAUGCUCAUGCAUGCAAUGCAUAUGAAAGAGUUUGAAUUUUUGGGAUGUAACAGACCUAACCCCCUUAAGAUGAAUCUUGUCCUCAAGAUUCGGUUUGGCUAGCAAAG